GUGAGGAAUAUUGGUCAAUGGGCGGGAGCCUGAACCAGCCAAGUCGCGUGAAGGAAGAAGGAUCUAUGGUUCGUAAACUUCUUUUGCAGGAGGGUAAAGUGAGCUACGUGUAGUUCAUUGCAAGUACCCUGCGAAUAAGCAUCGGCUAACUCCGUGCCAGCAGCCGCGGUAAUACGGAGGAUGCGAGCGUUAUCCGGAUUUAUUGGGUUUAAAGGGUGCGUAGGCGGACUAAUUAGUCAGCGGUGAAAUUUUGCGGCUCAACCGUAAAACUGCCGUUGAAACUGUUAGUCUUGAGUGCGGUAGAGGUAGGCGGAAUGUGUGGUGUAGCGGUGAAAUGCUUAGAUAUCACACAGAACACCGAUUGCGUAGGCAGCUUACUGGAGCGCAACUGACGCUGAGGCACGAAAGCGUGGGGAUCGAACAGGAUUAGAUACCCCAGUAGUCC
rnacentral:rRNA from 1 species